rnacentral:rRNA from 1 species
GUAGGUGGCAAGCGUUGUCCGGGAAUUAUUGGGGCGUAAAGCGCGCGCAGGCGGUUUUUUAAGUCUGAUGUGAAAGCCCACGGGCUCAACCGUGGAGGGUCAUUGGAAACUGGAGAACUUGAGUACAGAAGAGGAAAGCGGAAUUCCACGUGUAGCGGUGAAAUGCGUAGAGAUGUGGAGGAACACCAGUGGCGAAGGCGGCUUUCUGGUCUGUAACUGACGCUGAGGCGACGAAAGCGGUGGGGAGCAAACAGGAUUAGACUACCCUGGUAGUCCACGACCGUAAACGAUGAGUGCUAAGUGUAGGGGUUUCCGCCCCUUAGUGCUGCAGCUAACGCAUUAAGCACUCCGCCUGGGGAGUACGGCCGCAAAGGCUGA